GCAUAUCAAUAAGCGGAGGAAAAGAAACCAACAGGGAUUGCCUUAGUAACGGCGAGUGAAGCGGCAACAGCUCAAAUUUGAAAUCUGGCGCAAGCCCGAGUUGUAAUUUGUAGAGGAAUGCUUCUGGGUAGCGACCGGUCUAAGUUCCUUGGAACAGGACGUCAUAGAGGGUGAGAAUCCCGUAUGUGACCGGCCCGCACCCUUUACGUAGCUCCUUCGACGAGUCGAGUUGUUUGGGAAUGCAGCUCUAAAUGGGAGGUAAAUUUCUUCUAAAGCUAAAUACCGGCCAGAGACCGAUAGCGCACAAGUAGAGUGAUCGAAAGAUGAAAAGUACUUUGGAAAGAGAGUUAAAAAGCACGUGAAAUUGUUGAAAGGGAAGCGCCUGCAACCAGACUUCGCGGCAGUGUUCCGCCGGUCUUCUGACCGGUUCAUUCGCUGUCGUGAGGCCAUCAUCGUCUGGGCCCGCCGGAUAAGACCGUAGGAAUGUAGCUCACCUUCGGGGGAGUGUUAUAGCCUAAGGUGAUGCGGCGAGGCUCGGGCGAGGUCCGCGCUUCGGCAAGGAUGAUGGCGUAAUGGUUGUCGGCGGCCCGUCUUGAAACACGGACCAAGGAGUCUAACAUCUAUGCGAGUGUUCGGGUGUCAAACCCCUACGCGUAAUGAAAGUGAACGGAGGUGGGAACCGCAAGGUGCACCAUCGACCGAUCCUGAUGUCCUCGGAUGGAUUUGAGUAAGAGCAUAGCUGUUGGGACCCGAAAGAUGGUGAACUAUGCCUGAAUAGGGUGAAGCCAGAGGAAACUCUGGUGGAGGCUCGCAGCGGUUCUGACGUGCAAAUCGAUCGUCAAAUUUGGGUAUAGGGGCGAAAGACUAAUCGAACCAUCUAGUAGCUGGUUCCUGCCGA
rnacentral:rRNA from 1 species